rnacentral:tRNA from 1 species
GCCCCUGUAGCUCAGCUGGAUAGAGCACCAGCCUCCGGAGCUGGGAGCGAGAGUUCAAGUCUCUCCAGGGGCG